UAGACCAAUGAUGAGUAUCCUGGGGUGUCUGAAUCUGGAAUUUUGAUUAAGCCUUAUAGCUCUGAGAUCUAU
ensembl:snoRNA